GGAGUGCCUGAAAGUGAGCAUAGAGCCACUUUACACUGUGUGUCCCCCACACACCCGUGGGUAACGUAUACAUCCUGCACAGUAAGAGAGUAACGAUAAACACUGAUUUCAGCAACCUCAUCUGGUCUGCCCCUCAUUUAAACCAACAACGUUGGAAAUCAUACUCUAAAGCCAGGUACCGUGGCUCAGGCAUGUAAUUCCACAACUCCGAAGGCUGGGGCAGGAGCUGCAGCAAGUUUGAGACCAGCCUGGGCUACAUAGUGAGUUCGAGCCCAGCUGGGGCUACAGAAUGAGACCCAGUCUUAACAACAACAAAAGCCGGCUACAGCUUGUCUUUGGCAUAUCCAGACUGCCUGCUAGGCAGAGACAGGAUCUCUGCCGUUUUGGUCUGAGGAUUCAGAGAGCUUGCAUCAAGUUGACAUAAAACUACCCAGCAUAGGAAGUUAACAACUCAAGAGUCUUGGGAAGUUCCUGAAACUGACCAGAUGUACAAGGACCAUCUCCAUUUCCAAGAUUAUGUAAGCAAGAGGACUGCUGAGGAGACAGAGACCUGAGAGAGGUGCAGACAAACCAAGCUCCCUAGAAGACAAUCUCCAACUUGUAGAGCUGCCUUCAAGUCAUACAGUGAGCUCCAGGAUUCUGAUUUUUGUGAGCAACCUCCCAUGCUGGAGAGGACUUUGGUGAUGCAGCUUUCCUUGAGUCACUUCUGAAAAUGGCUCAGUGAUUACAACACAGGCUGCUCUUCCAGAGGACCUGGGUUCAAUUCCUAGCAUCCACAGGGUGGCUCAUGAUCAAGUUCCAGGAGAUCUUCUGGCCUCCAAGGACAUGGUGCACAAACCUGAAGGCAAACCACACAUACACAUAAAAAAAAAAUGAAGCUUUAAAAGCUAAAAACAUCAUUGAAAAAAGUUAAUAAAAUUCCUCACUGUCAGUUCUAAAUCAAGUUUCUUCUCUUUGUGAGAGUGAAGCUGAGGUGGGAAGUCUUAAUUACAAGUAAAGAACAAACAUUGACUUUAAAUAAAAGUAAUAAACAUUGGUUAGACUUAAAUAAACCAAUUAGGAUAACGUAUUAUUCAUUGGUUUUCUUCAAUUAGCUAAUACCCAAAUGUAUUCUCCAUUAGGUGACAUUUCCUAUUUUUAGACUCCAUUUUUAUGUUCUCAACUGACUUAGAAUUAACUAGUCAGCUCCAUGUUCUGAGCCCAGGCCAGAGACGCAGACAGCAGCCAGGCACCUCUCCCUGCACUAACAGAGACAGCCAGCCUAUCAGCUGUGGUCUUCACUGCUUCUGACUCGUCUACAGAGACUGAAUGGAUUUCCCUGUUUAGAGGAGGGAGUUUUCUCUAGCACACUGGUGAUACUCCACCUACGGGAGCCCUCAGCAUUCCCAUUUCUUUUUCAGUUGGCUGGCACCGACUCACGUCAACACCAUAGUCCCCUUAAAACCAUCUUCCCCGUCAGCAUAAAGCCUUCUCCAAGACUAAUCGUGCUGCUACCCUCUAGCCAUCGUCAUCUCGAAAACAGAGCCGAUGUGAUCGCCUACAGGAGAUCCUCACAAGGGCAGAGGAUGUGACUCAGCAGACAGGAAAGCUAUAAAGAAGACUCAGACAAGCCAAGCUGCGAAGAAGACUCGGAAGACAGACCAGCUAUCUGGAAGAAGCAGAAACCAGCCAGGCUGCCUGGAAGAGGUUUAGACCAACUGAGUCACCUGGAGAGGACGCUCUCCAACCUGCUGAGCUGCCUGCAGGCUGUGCAGUGUGUCCCGGUUCCCAGCUUUGUGAGCUGUCACCUGUGCUGGGGUGGGCUUUGGUGAUGCAGCUCUCUUGAGUCAUUUCUGGUCCUGUAGGCAACCCCUCACCCAUAUUCUGUAAGGAACUCCAUUACAAGUAAAAUUCAUUGGUUCUGAGAAGGCCAAGCAAAUACCAUGACAGGCUCCUAAUAACUCAGUUAAGAACUAGGCUUCAGUUCCUACCUCUUGAAACUGAGCAGACAGUUUCUGAGGAAGCAUAAACGAAGGUCAAUCCAUCACCAACACCUCCCCGCCAACCCCGACAGCAAGGAUGAGGGGAACUGCACAUGUAAGGCCUGAGCCAGUCCCCAAAUGGAAAAACUGUAGCCUUAGCCAACCCCUACUAUCCCUAACUAAUCAGAAACAUUUAGUCAACCCCUACUAUCCCUAACUAAUCAGAAACAUACUGAUUACCACUGGUGUAAGCCAACCCUAGAUAGAAUGACCGCACUGCCUAUAUUCCUUUAGCUGUGUAUAAAAGAGCCUGCAAGCUUCUCUCGUGGUUGCCAUUUUGCCUUUGUGUCAGAUGUGUGGUGCCAGCAUGCUAGAACU